ensembl:lncRNA
AUUAAAACUGGAAAACAAGUCCUAGCUGGUUCGAGCCAAACACCAACGUUAACUCGCGGGUAUUUUCUAUGGUGGUUGGGAUGGCCGUGCGUCUUUUGCCUUUUGUUUGAUUUGACUGUGUAUUUUCGCCUUUUGUCUCUUAAUGACGAUCACACCAUUGCUAUAUCCAGAGCAGUAAACAGUCCUCAGCGAAGCCGCCUUUUGCCAACCCAACCCUGGAAAGUUUGCAGAAGUGGAAGGAGCAGAAAAUGCCAUGAGAGUGUAACUUACAAAAAGGCUCUUGGCUGGAGAAAGGACAGCUGCCCGGUACCCCCCGACUGAGCCAUCGCCCUUCGGACAGCAGGAGCAGCCCUAACUUCACUGACAAUAAGGUAGGUGUGAGCCCUUUGCCAGCCUGCGAGGGAGAUUUGGGGGGCUUGGGCCUGGAGCCCAGGGAGGGCGGGCACCCCAAACCCGCUAGGCUGGUUCUGCAGCCCCUCCGCCCCACAGAUGUGUGGGACUGUGUGUGUGUGAAAUCGGCUCCCUGCUGGGCCUGCUCGGUCCAUCCAUCCCCGCCUGUCAGCUUCUGUUGUCAAGAGUUUGUGGCGUGCAAUUCUCUGCAGUGUUGAGCCUCAUAGGAGGCUGCACUUGCAAGUAUUUCCCAGUUGUGUGUUUUGUGGCGGGGGGGCGGGCCCUGGGUGCCUCUUCUGAAAGGUACUGUCUGCUGCCAGGAAGCCCAGCCCUGCUCUGGCCCUCCCUUCCGGCCCGAGUGGGGGCGUGUGGGGUGACUGUGUGAACUGGCCUCUUCCCUCUGAUGUCUAGCUGCUAGGGAGGUGGAGAGCACAAGUACCUGAGAUCUGGGCCAGUUUCUCUGAGAAAGAGGCUUCUGCACUCUUCUCCCCAUUCCUGGGAAUUCCACCAUUCUCUGCACCCCCCCAAAGAGAGUCCUGUUUAGAAAAUCAGACAUAUUGGGAUUUGAAACCUGGCUAGCCAUUUACGUGCUAUGACUUUGCUUGAGCUGCUUAGUCUCUGAGCCCGUCCCCGCCCCCCCCUGCACAAAUGGGGCUGGGUCAGUGAGUCCCAGUCUUGAGCAUGCUCAUUAGACUCCAGGGCCCAGUCCUGAGUGUUUGAUUCAGUAGGUGGGGUCUGAGAGCUUGCAUUUCUAACAAGUUCCCAGGUGAUGCUAAUGGCUGCCAUCCAGGGCACAUUUUGAGAACCCUUGGGCUGGGUAACACCUGGAGGUUUUGUGAGGACGAGAUGGGAGCUAGUGCACUUGAAAGCCCAAGCUGAGCGCCUGACACAGAGGCGUUAGCUUCCCAGUAAUGGCAGCUCUCUUUCUCCUAACACAAGCUGAGACUGCUCAUAGUUUCCCACUGUCUCCAGGAAGCUCCACAGCUGUUAGUGGUGUGGUGCUUGAUCUCUGAUCCCUCCCCCACGUGAUCUCUAGUAAGGGAUUACUUUGAUGAACCAUUUGGGUCCAGGUGCCACUGAUCCCCACCACUCCCCAGGUGGGCUGAGGUUUGGCUUCCUUGUGGGAUGAGCCCUGCCCACUUCUACUCCACCCCACAGUGUGAGGGCUAAACUGAGGUUUUGGGGAGUCAGAAGGGCUUGACCUGGAGAUUUGGUUGAGAGCCAUUCUGGUGCUUAAUUAAGGGAGGCUCUAAGUCUGGUGGCUGUGCUGGUGACCUUGGGUGAGUCUCCUGUGUGAAAUGAUAAUAAAAGAUGCAGGCUGGAAACGGGAGUGGGAGGA